UACGUAGGGGCCAAGCGUUGUCCGGAUUUAUUGGGCGUAAAGAGCUCGUAGGCGGUUCGGCAAGUCAGCUGUGAAAUCUCCACGCUCAACGUGGAGGGGUCAGCUGAUACUGCUGUGACUCGAGUCCGGUAGGGGAGUGUGGAAUUCCCGGUGUAGCGGUGAAAUGCGUAGAUAUUGGGAGGAACACCAGUGGCGAAGGCGGCUCACUGGACCGGAACUGACGCUGAGGCGCGAAAGCGUGGGGAGCAAACGGG
rnacentral:rRNA from 1 species